UGGCGGCCAUCCCACCCCUCCCCCCGCUCCAUGACCACCCCUGGAAGGAAGUGCUGACACUGGGCACUUGGCGAGUGCAGGGUUAGGGCAGCGGCCCAGGGCCAGGCCGGGUUGGAAGUCCAAAUCCCAGGACUGUGACUGGGCGCGGGCGGCGUCGGAGCUGCAAGGGGCUGCCCGACCGGGAGCCGUCGCUGGUUCCUCUCAACGCGCAGCUUGGUGGGGCCUGCGGAACCCGGUCCUUCAGUAGGAAGUCCCUCACUGAGGGCCCCGGGGGAGUCUGCACCUCCUGGAGGCCAUUCUUCCGCGACUGACCCCAGGCCUCGGCGCGCAGCGGUCUUGAGACGGCCUGUGCGCAGUCCGCGCGGGCGGAGGCCGGAGGGCAGCAGGCGCGGGGACACGGAUUCUGCCGCAGCCCCGCGGCGAGCCCAGCUCUGCCCGGAAACCCAGAAGCCCAGAGUGCGCCCACUUCGGGCCGCGAGCGCCCUCCGGCGACAAAAGAAUGAGUCCAAGAAAAAGCAAAGAAUCCAGGGACAUUUCCCUGCGGCUUCAGCCUAGAUCCGUGCCAUGAAGUCACCCCUAUAUGUUCUGGCCUGAUGUCUCUGAGGUGCCUGCUUCAUCUACGGAUGGCCUCAUUCCCUGUUGGGACAUUCUGGGACUGGGUAGGUCGGCUCCUGCACAGCCUGGCCAAGGACGCCCUGAACAGACCUGCUACCAACCCAAGCAGGGUGUGUUGACUUGCCAUGGUCUGCCUUUUCUAGAAUAUCACAUCCUCAGUAAAGCUGUGUAAGUGGACACAAA